AGUUAGUGUUUUUGUGUGUUUGUUUAUGUGUGUCGUGGAGGAGUGAUCUGUGCCUGUCUAUGUGGCUGUAUGAUGAACCAGGCUGUUGCCAUGGUGACGGUGGUGGUGGGCAUGACACAGAUGCGGGAGGUGGAGUUUGUGCCCGAUGGAGACAUGCACCUGGACAAAUUGUGUUGGUCAUUGGUCAGACUGGAGUUUACAUGUGUACCUCCUUCACCAUCAUUGGUGGACAUUUCACCAUGAGUGAUGCUUGAGCUGUCACGGUGCUGCUGCUGCUGUCUGCCAUCAUCACCCUGACACAGACCACCCUGCAGACCACCUUCAUCCUGGGUGCCACACGUCACUGCUGCUACAACUCAGAGCAACUGGAGCGCAAGCCAGGAAGGGAGAUAGUUACUUUUCACUUAAUUUGUUGUUUAUUUGAGGGCCUAAUGACAGACACAUAAUGGAAUGAGUAUUUGUGAAUGUUUGUUUAUAUCUAGAUACAGCAUUCACAUAUCUUUUAAGUGCCACCUUCCAAAAACAAUGUCAGCCAGAAAAAUAACUGAUGAAUCUAAUUACAUUUCAAGUCAAAAAGUUUUCCUUUAACCACUUUGCUCCAGAUGCUUAAAAACAUGCGUUGCUCACAUACAUGGCGUCGCGUAGGCUCGUCACUGGUAACUUAUCUAAUUUCUAAUAAUUUCUAAUAUAAUUUCUGUGUGUGUGUGUGUGUGUGUGUGUGUGUGUGUGUGUGUGUGUGUGUUUUUUAUAUAUGAGUGACACUGGCCAAGGACAACAAAAAUCCAAUAAAAAAAUAUGCCCACUGAAAUGGCAGUCCCAUAAAAGGGUCAAAGCAGUGGUCAAAAGUUGAUGAAUAAGUGUCUUAAAACCUCCCUCUUGAAGGAAUUCAAGUCAUAGGAAGGUGGAAAUACAGAAGCAGGCAGGGAGUUCCAGAGUUUACCAGAGAAAGGGAUGAAUGAUUGAGAAUACUUGUUAACUCUUGCAUUAGAGAAGUGGACAGAAUAGGGGUGAGAGAAAGAAGAAAAUCUUGUGCAGCGAGGCCGUGGAAGGAGGGGAGGCAUGCAGUUAGCAAGAUCAGAAGAGCAGUUAGCAUGAAAAUAGCGGUAGAAGACAGCUAGAGAUGCAACAUUGCGGCGGUGAGAGAGAGGCUGAAGACACUCACUUAUGUUUGUGUGUGUGUGUGUGUGUGUGUGUGUGUGUGUGUGUGUGUGUGUGUGUGUGUGUGUGUGUGUGUGUGUGCACUGAUGCAGCUGAGAAGGUUGCCUUAUGAUAAUUAUUGACAAAUGAAGGUAAUGGAUGCGCAUGUCAUUACUACUUUUUUAAGUGUGUGUGUAUGUGUGUGUGUUAUGUACACACACACACACACACACACACACACACACACACACACACACACACACACACACAAAGAGAAGUAAUAGACACGCAUCCUUUACCUUCAUUCAUCAAUAAUUGUCAUAAGACGACCUUCCCAGCUGCAUCAUUACACACACACACACACACACACACACACACACACACACACACACACACUUACACACCAUGUAGUGUAGUGGUUAGCACGCUCGGCUCACAACCAAGAAGGCCCAGGUUCGAAUCCCAGGCACGGUGAGGCAGAUGGACAAGCCUCUUAAUGUGUAGCCCUCUUAAUGUGUAGCCUCUUAAUGUGUAGGUACAGGAUGUAACCCGAGGUGAUGUGACUUUGCUGCCCCGGUGUGUGGUGUGUCAUUGGCCUCAGUCCUACCCAAAGAUCAGUCACCAUGAGCUCUGAGCUCUUACACACACACACACACACACACACACACACACACACACACACAGAGAGAGAGAGAGAGAGAGAGAGAGAGAGAGAGAGAGAGAGAGAGAGCAAAAUGGCAAUGAAUGAAACAGGGAGGAGGGGGAACUGUGUGUGAAUGAAAACAUCAUCUACGUGAAACAUUUGAUUGAUUAUAAAGCACAUGUGCAUCAUAUAUAGUCAUGAAUGUGGAGGAACAGCAGAGUGAGUGAUCAACCACAGAAAGGAGAGAGUCGGACAUGCGGAGAGAAUGGAAGGGGAACAAUUUGAGAAGAUAAGCAUGCAAAUACAUAAAUAUAAGGUGGAAUAACAGUGUUUGGUGGGAAGAUGAAAGAGAGAUGCCUGUUUAUGAAGCAAAAUGAUUGUGCAAGAGAGGAAUGAUUGGAAAACCAUUCCCACCAUAGCCAACAGACCUUACACCAUAUUUUUACAAACCACAGCAUCUCUAUUCAUCCAUUCUGUGUGUCUUCUCUUCUCUCUCUCUCUCUCUCCACUCUUAAUGCUGCUGUGGGUCUCUGGGCUGGAGUACAUCAGAGAAAGAUUGACACCAACUUAUAUAUGAGAGGAUGUUGUCUGUAACUAUGCUAUGGGGACAUUGCAAGUUUGUGGGGUGUAGUGAAUGAAUAAGUGUGUCCUCUAUAGCAUACUUAAAAACCACACUCUCACAUGGAAAUCAAUCUCUCUCUCUCUCUCUCUCUCUCUCUCUCUCUCUCUCUCUCUCUCUCUCUCUCUCUCUCUCUCUCUCUCUCUCUCUCUCUCUCUCUCUCUCUCUCUCUCUCUCUCUCUCUCUCUCUCUCUCUCUCUUUGGAAUUAUACUGUAUAUUAGGAAAUAUCAUUAAAGAGUGUGUGUGUGUGUGUGUGUGUAAAAAGUGUUUGCAUUAUUGUGCAUUUGAUGUUAUAGCCCUAGGUACUUAAAGUUUUCUGGUUUCAUGAUGUAUAAAGAUUGCUAUUUUUAAUAAAGUUAUUGAAAUUGUUAUUGAGUGUUUGUAUUGAACUCAUUAGCUUUGUAAUAGUGUGCGUCUCAUCAUGCAUUCAUUAAUGAUGUAGAGUGGAAAUGUCCACUCCUAUCAUGCAUAAUAUCAAUGCAUUAUUGGUUUAUGUUGUUAUUUGUGUAUAAAUUGUAAAGUUAUGCCAGUCUAUUUUAGUACAAACUAAAUAUCAGCUGGAAGAGAGGACAGGUAAUGGCACACUAAAACACAGGAAGGGACAAUGAUAUAACCAUCCAAUUUAACAAUACACAGAGGAAGAAGAAUGAGAAAGCAAUAAAAAUGGAUUAUUUAAUGGAUGAUUAAUAGACCCUCAUUUGUAAUGUUAUUUCAGGCAAGAAUAUUAAAAGAGACAGCUGGCUUGCCCUUUGUACUUGUUCAGCUUGCCCUUAGCACUUGUUCAUACAUGACAGAAUGAGAGAUCUAUGGGGUGGGGGUGACACCUGGAAAUGGGUAUGAUUCAUGAAGGGAUUCAUUGAUUGGUUCACUGACUGAUUAAGAAAAAAAAACGUAGCAGUGGAGGGUGGGGGGGAAGGCGCCCCCAACUUUCCAGUCAUAUAUGGCGUGGAAGGGACAAUACCAGCAAAGAAAAAUAUGAGAAAAUGCAUAAUUUACUACAAAACCCAAAAUGCGAAAAAAAAACCUUGCCAAAUUGAACCUUCCCACGAAUGGAGUUUUGAUGCAAUGAGCCACAGUUACUUAAAACACUCAACAAAUAUAACACCUGCCAAAAAAAAAAAAAUAAAAUCAAUCAAUCAAUCAAUAAAUAAAGAUAAAAACGCGAGAAAACCUUUAAAUUAUCACAACGCGAAAUAUACACACACGCCAAACUGGAUGCGUCACUAGUUAAUACCCCCCAAUAGUUUAUAGCCCCUCCCCUAUUCAUUGCUCUCCCCCCUUCCCUGCCUUGAGGAACACCUUCACUUAUGGCCUGCUGUUGGGUCAGAUUUGAGCCAUUUUAACCUCGAAUUACAUACAAUACAUACAUACAUACAUAUUGUCUCCUUGCAAUAAUUAUAAUAGUCUUCCUGGCUUAAUUUUUGUUUAUUCAUUAUUCCUUAUGUGUUUAUUAAUUAUUUGUCAUUUGUCUAAUUCCUUGUUUUAUUUAGCCUCGGUAUUUAACUAAGCAUUUUUUUUUUUCACUUUCUGACUGUGGCCCUUGCAAUGAACGGCUUAAUUGUUUAUUUACUGUUCCUUACGUGUUUAUUGAUUAUAUGUGAGUUAUUUAUUUGAUAUUCAUGAUUUUUUUUUUAACUUCGUAUUUCUUUAUAUGAUAGUUUUAUCUUUUCGUGUUUUCUGGCUUAAGUUUUGUUUAUUACUCCUUGUUUGUGUUAUUAGGUGUGUCAUUAAUUAUUUGUCUUAUUUCUCGUAGUUUAAUGGAUUUUUUAGCACUUUAAUUAUUAGAGUUCCUCACCAGUCAUUUUAUUCGAGAGAGAGAGAGAGAGAGAGAGAGAGAGAGAGAGAGAGAGAGAGAGAGAGAGAGAGAGAGAGAGAGAGAGAGAGAGAGAGAGAGAGAGAGAGAGUCUAAAUGAAUGAUAAAAAAAAAUAAUAAUCAGUUACAGUAUUUAUUUAUAAACGAACAAUUCAUGAUAAUAAUAAUAAUAAUAAUAAUAAUAAUAAUAAUAAUAAUAAUAAUAAUAAUAAUAAUAUUUAAAUACAAGGAGGAAAAUGUGUAAUAAUAAUAAUAAUAAUAAUAAUAAUAAUAAUAACAAUAACUGCUUUUAUCUUACACAGAUAAAUAGUUUUAUAAAUAGUUUAUUGACCAUAAACAUUGUGUACAUACACACAAAAUUAAAUAGAACAGAUAAAAAUUUCAAAAUGUAGUCAGUGACACAGAAGACUGGUGACAAAACCUACUAAAGCCCAUUAAAUGAUUGGGUGUCUCAAGUUUCCACAUCAUCAGUGGAACACUGCUUCUGAGCACUCAGGGAUGGACAAGCUUUUCAUGGCUUGUGUGAAUGGAGACAAGACGUGUAGGGGAUUUAUUUGUUCUGUUUUUUCUUGUCCUACUCUCUCUUCCUCCCUCUUGACUCUUCCUUUGCUUCAUCCUACUCUUUCUCUUGCUCAUUCUCUCUCUCUCUCUCUCUCUCUCUCUCUCUCUCUCUCUCUCUCUCUCUCUCUCUCUCUCUCUCU